GACGGGAUAAGGAGCUUGCUCCUUUGAAGUUAGCGGCGGACGGGUGAGUAACACGUGGGUAACCUACCUAUAAGACUGGAAUAACUUCGGGAAACCGGAGCUAAUGCCGGAUAACAUAUAGAACCGCAUGGUUCUAUAGUGAAAGAUGGUUUUGCUAUCACUUAUAGAUGGACCCGCGCCGUAUUAGCUAGUUGGUAAGGUAAUGGCUUACCAAGGCGACGAUACGUAGCCGACCUGAGAGGGUGAUCGGCCACACUGGAACUGAGACACGGUCCAGACUCCUACGGGAGGCAGCAGUAGGGAAUCUUCCGCAAUGGGCGAAAGCCUGACGGAGCAACGCCGCGUGAGUGAUGAAGGUUUUCGGAUCGUAAAACUCUGUUAUUAGGGAAGAACAAAUGCGUAAGUAACUGUGCGCAUCUUGACGGUACCUAAUCAGAAAGCCACGGCUAACUACGUGCCAGCAGCCGCGGUAAUACGUAGGUGGCAAGCGUUAUCCGGAAUUAUUGGGCGUAAAGCGCGCGUAGGCGGUUUCUUAAGUCUGAUGUGAAAGCCCACGGCUCAACCGUGGAGGGUCAUUGGAAACUGGGAAACUUGAGUGCAGAAGAGGAAAGUGGAAUUCCAUGUGUAGCGGUGAAAUGCGCAGAGAUAUGGAGGAACACCAGUGGCGAAGGCGACUUUCUGGUCUGUAACUGACGCUGAUGUGCGAAAGCGUGGGGAUCAAACAGGAUUAGAUACCCCUGGUAGUCCACGCCGUAAACGAUGAGUGCUAAGUGUUAAGGGGGUUUCCGCCCCCUUAGUGCUGCAGCUAACGCAUUAAGCACUCCCGCCUGGGGGAGUACGACCCGCAAGGGUUGAAACUCCAAAGGAAUUUGACGGGGGACCCCGCACCAAGCGGGUGGGAGCAUGGUGGGUUUAAUUCCGAAGCAACCGCGAAAGAACCUUUACCAAAAUC
rnacentral:rRNA from 1 species